UCCUGUCUAGAGAUGACUGGCACCCUUAGGACAGAGGCAUGACACCUUCUCUGGGGCUGGUGAGCUGGUGUGCUCUAUUUUUUUGUUUGCUUCUUUGUUUGCGACAGGAUUUCAGUGCCGUAAUCUCCCAGUCUCUGGCCUUUGGCACCCAGAUGCUGCGAGCUUCAGAUCUGCACCACUGUACCGGCUUCGCUUGAGUCCUGAGAUACGCUGCUCGCGGGUUCGUUUGCCUCAUAAACGUGCAGUGUGGAAACCACUGGUGUGACCGGUGCUCGGAGCACAGACCUGCUGUCCAGGAGCACAGAUGUGGCCAUUUCCGCGCUGAGACAGGGAGUCCUGAGGUUACUAAGGAGUGCUUGCCUACACGUGUGCCUGUGCAUGCCUGCUGCUCUUCCAGGCCGGAGGAGGGCAUCAGGCCUUCUGGAGCUAGAGUUAAAAUGGUUGUAAGCUGCCACUUGGGUGCUGGGAAAUGAACAUAGCUCUUCUCUAAGAGGAACAACCACUGUUAACUGCUGAGCCAACUCUCCCUCCUUACAUGGUUUUAGGUUGACAGACAAGUUAUUUUUACAGCAAGUCUCAGCACUUGGUGUCACGGUGAGUUUAGCUGGGCUGCUCCAGGUGUGAGCUCUCAGAGCCACACCACCUACCCGUGAUACGCUGCUUUGUUGGAGGAUGGUCUCAUGCUAAUUACUGUUGCUCAAGAUCUGGAUACUGCCCACCGGAUACACCCAUCCUUGUUUGUGUAAACCUGCCUAAAACACUAUACCUGAUUGGUUCAUUCAAUGGCCUAUCUGGGCAGGGUGGAAAUGGAGUAGGCGUGACGAAGGUUCCCAGGAGUUUGAGGACGGAAGAAUCAUGGAAAUCAGGGGAAAGAGAGGGAGAGGAAGGAGGACGAUGAUGAGCUAGCCAGGAGAAGUAACAACGUGGAGGAAGAACUCCAAUCAUGUUGUGAGAAGGCCCAGGCUGUUUUCUAACGGAAAAUCUUGUGAGAGACUCAAGAGUUCCCGCUCUUGGCCCCCUUGUCAUAGAGUCCCCAAGCAACGCUGGGCACUGCUGGGCUGUUCGCCUCUUUCCCAGGAAUGCCCACUCCAUUAGAGACUCCUCAUCGGGAGGUCGUCGGGAACACAGAGUCAGCCUGGAAUCCCACAGUGUGCCCUGCACUUCAGCUCUUAGCCAUUCAAAUGUGGAUCGCUCUACAGAGCCCUGGCUGUCCUGGACUCACUUUGCAGACAGGCUGGCCUCAGAGUCAGAGAUCCAUCUACUGCCUCCCAAGGGCUGAAAUUAAAGAUGUGCACCACCA